GAUAGGGUGGCUGAGAUUAGGCGAUAGAUUGUAAAUCUAUAAACGAGGACAAACUCCCCGAUCA
rnacentral:tRNA from 1 species